ensembl:lncRNA
UAUAUUAAUUGAUACUAAUACAAUUGCUUAGAGAAGGAGAUUUUGUUAAACAAGUAAUUUAAAAAAUCUCAUAAAGAUAGGGAUCAAAGUUAUUGGCACCCCCGUUAUCAAUACUCCAGCAUCCUACCCUUGUGAGGAUAAUGACACUGCCCUUACAUUUUUGUUGUUGUUGAUGAAGUUGGAGAACACAUCGAGAGGGAUCUUAGACCAUUCCUCCAUACAGAAUAUUUCAAGAUCCUUGAUAUCCUUCAUCUGUGGCGCAUAUGGACUUGCCCUCUUCAAUUCAAACCACAGGUUUUCAAGUCCGGAGACUAAGAUGGGAUGCCCAUUGCAGAAUGAUGAUUUGGUGGUCAAUUAAUUAACCAUUUCUUUAAGGAUUUUUAAAUGUCCUGGUCCUUGAUCAAGUGCAUGAUACCGUUGACCUUAACCUUAACAAGGGCCCCAGAACCCAGAACCAGUGGAAGCCAAAUAGCCCCACAACAUCAAAGAUCCACCACCGUGUUUUUUCAUUAGGUAUAGGAUACUUCUCUACAUAUGCAUCUUAUAUAUGCUGGUGGAUUAUAUAUGCUCAAAUAUGCUGGUGGAUCUUUGAUGAUGCAGACAAAGUAUAUCAAGGAUCUUGGAAAUAUUCUGUAUGGAGGAAUGAUCUAAGAUCCCUCCCAAUGUGUUUUCCAAUCGCAUUGUUAUCCUCACAAGGGUAGGGCGCUGGAGUAUUAAAAACAGGGGUGUCAAUCAUUUUGAUUCCUAUCUUUUUGAGAUUCUAUUUAUUUAUUUACUUGUUUAAAAAAAAAUAUUCUUCAAUUUUUAGAGCACACACACUCCACCAAGGACAACUUGUACUGUCUCACACACACACACCACCACCUCCACUGCUGCCAGCACCUAAGACUAGAGGACAGCCCGCACUGACCUUCAGGCAGCAAACACAUUUCCCCCAACACGGAAACAUGGACAGCUGUGUUAUGGCCAGGAAGGAAGGACCCCUAUGAAACAUCCCCUGUCUGUCUGUCUGUCCCCUCUGUCUUCUCUCCCUCACACCGAGGAGGUUGCUAUUGAACGAGAGGAGAAACGUGAGUCAGCUGAGGAGGACAAAUGUGAGUGAAGACAUCGACACUACGUAAUGGAAUAUAGACCUUUACAGCACCUGUAUAGGUACUGUACCUAUAAAUAUACAUAUAUCAACAGCAGGAUAAGAUGUUCACUUGGUACUGUAGAAACGGAACGAAAACAGAGAAAGAUAUUCAAAUGCUCCUUUGAAUAAGCUUACCAUGGAGUAUAAACAUCCUGUAUUAUACGUUGUCUCUACAUGUCUGUCUCUAUAUAAAGAGAACAGUGCAGUUGUCGGACGGUGAUUCCCUUCAAGGCUACAAAUUACUUCACCUCUCGCAAGACGACAUGGGCAGUACAUUAAAUGUUUGUUGACUGGACUUACAUGCCUAAUGUACAAAGCAGUGCAUAAGCUCACAGUACGCUAUGGCUCAAACUACAGAACAAAGCAGCCAGACAGCAGACUGAGUGAAAAAGAGAGAGAGAGAGAGAGAGAGAGAGAUGGGGAGAGGGAGAGAGAGAGAAAAAAAAGGUGGAGCGGGAGAGAGAGAGAGAGAGGGAGAGAGAGAUGGAGAUGGUGGAGAGGGAGAGAGAGAGAGAUUGAAUUGAAUUGGGAGAGAGAGAGAAAGAGGGGAAGAGGUAGGGAGAGAGAGAGAGAAAUAGGGGGAGAGCGAGAGAGAGUACAGGCUCAGUGAGCACAGCCUUGCCAUUGAGAAGGGUAGACUUAGGAAAACCGGACUCCCUGUAGAGGAAAGGCUGUGCAACCACUGCACAACAGCAGAACCUGAGACGGAGCUGCAUUUUCUGACAAAAUGUAAAAAAUAUAAAACAAUUCGAGAGUGUCAUUUCCCCAAAUUUGAAACCCUUAUUCAAGGUUUCAAAGACCUCUCUGAUGAGAGUAGGCUACCCGUCCUGUUGGGGGAGGAUGCAGAGAGCUGUGUGUUGGCAGUGCACUACAUUUCUGCCUGCCAUAAGUUGAGGGACAGUGUCUGACAGACCAAUCAACCUGCACAUGUCCUCUACUGUAUGCUUAUUGUUAUUGUUCAAUGUAUGGUUAUUUUGACACUUGGAUGUUGUUGUUACUGUUGUCCCGUUGAUCAUUUUGAUUAUUAUUAUUUUCAUAUUGUAAAUAUCCAAAGUAAGCUUUACGUCAUGACAAUAAAGCAAAUUGAAUUGAAAAAAAAAUAAUAAUAAUUGGGAGAGAGAGGAGGGGAGAGAGGGAGAUAGGGAGAGAGAGAAAGAGAGAGAGAAAGAGAGAGAGAGAGAGAGAGAGAAGCUGAUACUGGUGCAAUUCAUUGUUAAUCUUAGACAUACACGUUGUACUGGCUGUAUGGUUCUGAUUACAUAUGCAUGAGUUUAUAAUCUCCUACAUUGACUGCAUGAGUGUGUGGAUUGAAUAUGCAGAUGGAGAAACAAUCUGGGCCCCAAAUGGCAUCCCAUUACCUACAAAUUGCGCUUAUUUUGGGGCCUGGUCAAAUGUAGUGGACUAUAUAGGAAAUAGGGUGCCAUUUUGGAUGCAGCUACAGAUGCUGUGGGAGGGUGAAUGGGACUAAUUCCACAGAGCCAAGUCUUUGGAUCUCUGUACUACCUACCACUUGUAUUGAUUAACUAGCUGAGUGUACGUGUGUGCGUGUGUGUGUAUGUGUGUGUGUCUGCACGUGUGCGUGUUUGUUUGUGUGUGUGUGUGUCCUUGUCUCUUUUCUGUCUCUUCUUGUAGGGAGGUUCCUAUGCUGAUUAUUGGCUGCAACCCAACUCCAAUCAGAGGCCUGAAGAGAGGAGAGGAAAGAUGAUAUGAAGGUAGAGGAACAGUGGAUGACUUUUACUCUUUUAUUUAGAUCUAGAGUAACUGUCUGAAACCCAGGAGAGAGAGAGAGUGAGCAUUUCCCAUGCCAAUAAAGCCCUUAAAUUGAAUUGAAUUGAGAGACAGAGAGGGAGGGAGAGCGAGUAAGAGUGAGAGUGAAAGAAAUAACUGGAGAGGACCAUUUUUGGAAGCAGAAUAAACAGAGGAUGAGAGCGUGGGAGCAAUCUUGGGAGCAAUCCUUGGAGGAGGGGCGGUUGAAGUAGUGGAAGCUAAUAUUAUGGAUGAACUACAGGAAAUCAAAUCAAAAUGUUUUCUAAAUGCAUGCCUGAGGUGGAAUUGAUCUUCACUCAGAAGAGCGGGAGAGGAAUAUCUGGUUUCAAAGAAAGAAAGAAAGAAAGAAAGAAA